rnacentral:rRNA from 1 species
UACGUAGGGUGCAAGCGUUAAUCGGAAUUACUGGGCGUAAGGCGUGCGCAGGCGGUUUUGUAAGACUGUCGUGAAAUCCCCGGGCUUAACCUGGGAAUGGCGAUGGUGACUGCAAGGCUAGAGUUUGGCAGAGGGGGGUAGAAUUCCACGUGUAGCAGUGAAAUGCGUAGAUAUGUGGAGGAACACCGAUGGCGAAGGCAGCCCCCUGGGUCAAAACUGACGCUCAUGCACGAAAGCGUGGGGAGCAAACAGG